UCAAGAGUAUACGGCGGAUGCCUUGGCACAAAAAGCCGAUGAAGGACGUGAUAGUCUGCGAUAAGCUUCGGAUAGCUGGCAAUAAGCGUUUUAAUCCGGAGAUUUCCGAAUGGGGAAACCCUUCUGUAGUCAUGUACAGAAAUUAUAUGCUGAAUACAUAGGCAUAUGAAAGGUAAGCCAGUGAAGUGAAACAUCUCAGUAACUGGAAGAAAGUAUAUCAAAUGAUAUUCCCUAAGUAGUGGCGAGCGAAAGGGGAAGAGCCCAAACUCUAUUAUAGGAAGAGAUUACCAAUCCUGCGUUGUAGGAGCGGUUUUUAAUUCAUUCAUACAGGAACUGUUGUAAUAGAGUGUUGUAGGACAUAAUGUCUAUACACUGUAAAGUAUAGGAUCAAGUUACAAAAAUCAUCUUUAGCAGAAAACUGUUGGAAAGCAGUACCAAAGGGGGUAAUAGUCCCGUACGUGAAAAGGAUGGUUCUUGAUGAUUAUGUUCCUGAGUACCACGGUCUAGGAGAAAUUCCGUGGGAACCUGCCAGAACCACCUGGUAAGGCUAAAUACUUUUUGUGACCGAUAGUGAACUAGUACCGUGAGGGAAAGGUGAAAAGUACCCCUGUUAGGGGAAUGAAAUAGUACCUGAAACCGUAUACUUACAAACAGUAGAAGCCGCGUAUAUGCUUGCAUAUCGCGUGGUGACUGCGUGCCUAUUGAAGAAUGAGCCUGCGAGUUACCCUGAAAGGCUUGGUUAAGUCACUCUGUGAUGUAGCCAUAGCGAAAGCGAGUUUUAAAAGGCGAUUGUCUUUCAGGUUAGACCCGAAGCCAGGUGAUCUAUCCAUGAGCAGGUUGAACCACCUCGAAAGAGGUGGGGAGGACCGAACCCGUGAAUGCUGCAAAAUUCUGGGAUGACUUGUGGAUUGGAGUGACACGCUAAUCGUACUUGGUGAUAGCUGGUUCUCCUCGAAACAGCUUUAGGGUUGGCCUCGGUCGGUAGCAUAUGGAGGUAGAGCUCUGAAUGAAUCGCGGGUCCCGUUAGGGAUACCGCAUUCUCUCAAACUGCGAAUGCCAUAUGUGGAACACCGGGAGUUAGACUACGGGAGAUAAGUUCCGUUGGUCGAAAGGGAAACAGCCCAGACCAUCAGUUAAGGUCCCUAAAUAUAUGCUAAGUGGCAAAGGAUGUGAAAUUUCAUAAACAGCCAGGAGGUUUGCUUAGAGGCAGCCAUCCUUUAAAGAGUGCGUAACAGCUCACUGGUCUAGAAGUUUUGCGCCUAUAAUGUAACGGGGCUCAAGCAUAUUACCGAAACUAUGGAUUUAUUAUCGUGAAGAUAAUAAGUGGUAGAGGAGCGUUGUAUUCAGCAGUGAAGGUGAGCCGUAAGGCCAGCUGGAGCGGAUACAAGUGAGAAUGCAGGCAUGAGUAGCGCAAUUCCGGUGAAAACCCGGGACACCGAAUAUUCAAGGUUUCCUUGGCUAUGUUAAUCAUCCAAGGGUUAGUCGGUCCUAAGCCGAGGCAGAAGUGCGUAGGCGAUGGACAUCAGGUUAAUAUUCCUGAACCGCUUUUAAAUCGUUAUCAACUAUGGGGUGACUGAUUUGGAAAUGUUUUUGAGUCGAUAGGUCGACUUUCAAGUAGUAAGUUAGUUCUGUUUGGUAAAUCCGGCAGAAUGUUUCCUCGAUUCGUCGAGGAUGGAUGCGAGCUAUUACGAGAAGCUGAAAUCUACGGAUGGAAGCAACAUAAACUAUUCAGGUCACAAGAAAAUCCUCUAUGUGAGAGUUAAAGGCGACCGUACCGCAAACCGACACAGGUGAAUUGGUAGAGUAUACCAAGGUGAUCGAGUAACCCCUUGUUAAGGAAUUCGGCAAAUUUAUCCCGUAUCUUUGGUAGAAGGGAUGCCCACUAUUAUUCGUAAUGGUGGGUCGCAGAGAAAUAGCCCAAUCGACUGUUUAACAAAAACACAGGUCCCUGCUAAAGCGCAAGCUGACGUAUAGGGGCUGACGCCUGCCCAAUGUCAGAAGAUUACGGAAGGAGGUUAUCCCGCCCUCAGAACUCUUUAUAGAGUCUUGAGGGCGGGAGAAGCUUCUGACCUAAGUCCUGAUGAAUGGCGGCUGUAACUAUAACGGUCCUAAGGUAGCGAAGUUCCUCGGCGCUUAAUAGGCGUCCCGCAUGAAAGGCGUAACGAGUUGGGCACUGUCUCAACAGGGGACUCGGCGAACAUUGAAAUGGCUGUGAAGAUGCGGCCUACCCGCACCAGGACAAAAAGACCCCGGGAUCUUUACUGUAGCUUGGCAUUGAAACAAUGCUUUCAUUGUAGAGUGUAGGAGGGAGACUUUGAAACCCGCUCGCCAGAGUGGGUGGAGUCGCCAAUGUAACACCUCCCUUUGUGUGUGUUGUUUCUUAUCCCAGCCCCUGAUCGGGGUGGGAGACAGUGUUUGGUGGGCAGUUUGACUGGGGCGGUUUCUUACUAAAAAGUAACGUAAGAUUCCAAAGGUCGACUCAAGCUGGAUGGAAAUCAGCUGUAGAGCAUAAUGGUAUAAGUCGGCUUUACUGCAAGACUGACAGGUCGAGCAGUCACGAAAGUGGGGCAUAGUGACCCUUAAGUAGCGUGUGGAAGCGCUUUUGUUUAAAGGAUAAAAGUUACCCCGGGGAUAACAGGCUGGUCUUGCCCAAGCGUCCAUAGCGACGGCAAGGUUCGGCACCUCGAUGUCGGCUCGUCGCAUCCUGGAGGUGGAGAAGCUUCCAAGGGUUGGGCUGUUCGCCCAUUAAAGCGGCACGCGAGCUGGGUUCAAACCGACGUGAGUCAGGUUGGUCUCUAUCCGGUGUGGGCGUUAGAAUUCUGAGGGAUCCGACCUUCAGUACGAGAGGACCAAGGUGAAGUAACCUCUGGUGCACCAGUUGUUCCACCAGGAGCAUAGCUGGGUAGCCAAGUUGCUAUUAGGAUAAACGCUGAAAGCAUAUAAGCGUGAAGCCACUCCCAAGAUGAGAAUUCUUCAUCCCGCCCUGAAAGUUUAUAAAUAUCAGAAAUAUUCCAGAAUUGUUAAUUAAAAUAUCUUAUGAUUUUUUAUGUAUAUAUUUUAAAAUCUAAAAAAU
rnacentral:rRNA from 1 species